ensembl:lncRNA
UUUAAAUUAAUAUUAAAUUUAAUGGAUUGUUUUGGAUCUCAGGUGUAGAAAAUUGAGCCAAUCAAAUUGCUGUUUAUAUCACUCCCACCAUCAGACUGUACAAGCUCUCUCUCUUGUUUUAUUUUACUUUAUUUAAUUUAUCUCUUUCAUCCCUGAUCUCUACAGCUGUUCUUCUCUUUUUCUUUACGGUAAAUUCCGCACUUAUGUAUCCUUGAAAAUACACAUUUCAUUGUAAAAGGUAGUGUUGAUUUGUGUAUGUUUUCACUAACACCUGUAAACUGCGUUACAGAGCUCAUCUGUGUGUUUUUUUUCACUCGGUGCAGUGUUUUGCAGGUCUGUCCUUGUUGCUUUCUGUGCAUAGGACGUGGAUCAAUUAGGAGUGCCUUUGGUUGUAAGUAACCAGAAGCCGAGCUCAUGGUUGGCUGCUGGGCUGGACCCACUGCUAAGCUUCAACCCAAAGCUUCUUUUAGUGUUUUUUCUGAACGGCAGAAGCUGGAAAGCUAAAAUGACACUUCCCAGAUCCCCUUGAGCUAGGAAUCUGUGAUUUAGGCUCUGUUCUUGUGCAAGACAUAAAUUUGGAACAGAGCUAAAUAGCACGGGACAUCCGUUUUGCUGUCACAGAUCAGGACAGAUGCGGGGGGCGGGGGGAGCUCUGGGGAGCAGCUUCCUGAUUCAUCAGCUUCCUGUAGGAGUGACUGUUGUUUUCCCAAUCACGGCAGAGGUCAUGUGCCUCUCAAAGCUGGGAGUUCUUCCCGGACCUAGAGCCUGCUUCUCCAUCUCUGUAUGCUUAAACUAACCAGCCAUCUCGUUGUGUUUAAACUAGCCAGACUUAUUUCUGUUGUCUGCACUUGAACCCUGACUGAUACAUGUGGCUUAAACAAAUAGAAGUUUAUUCUUCACACAAGAUAACACGGUCAGGGAUAAGAAGCUGUUGGUGUUGAUGUAACUUGAUGACGUCAGGGCCUUCUCUGGGAGUCUCUCCACUUUUCCCCAUGGUCACAAGAUGGAUGCUGAACCUCUAGCUAUCACAGUAAAAUGUGGUGAAUGCACAUACGGAAUUCUAUGCAGCAAUUAGAAGAAAUCUACUAGAUUGUGUGUCAGACAUCGCUGGUUAGAUGACACAAUCCCUAUCUAUAACCCCACUUGUCUCCAGUCACCUUUCAGUUAGGUAUGACCAUGUGAUACAGUUUUGGCCAAUGAAAUGAAAGCUGUAGUCUGAUGAGUGAGACUCCUGGAAAAGUCUUUGCUCUCUUGAUAAAAGAUGUGGGGCGUACCUUUUUACCUCUUUCUUUGCCCUUCUUCCUGCUGCGUAGAAUUCCAUAGUGUGCAUCCAUCACCUUUUACUUAUCUAUUCUUCUGGUGAUAGGUAUCUAGGUUGCCUCCAACUUCCUGCUGCUACAAAUAACACUGCGCUGAACGUCCUUGUUCAUGGCUAGUCGUGGACCUGCGAGAGAGCGUCUCUGAGGCUGCUGGGUCAUAGGGCACGUACAUGCUCAUUGACCAGGUACUGUCGGGUUACUCCCACCAGCAGUUCUUAAAAGUCUCCCUCCAUCCUGUCGACACUUGUAAUUAUUCAGCCUUCUAAUUUUUGUCAAUCUGAUGGUGCAGAACUAUAAAGUGAUAUUACGAUUUUACACUGGAUUUCUCUAAUUAUCAACAAGGUGAGCAUCUCUCUGCAUACCUGAUAGCCAUUCUUGUUUCCCUGACUUCGAAUCGCCUGUUCAUAGCCUUUGUCCAAUGUUCUGUUGGACUUUGCUGUCUUUUUCUUACUGAUUUUUCAGGAGUUCCUCUUAAAAAUCUAGAUAAUCAACCCAUUGUCAGAUAGGUUUUAGAAAUGGCAAUGUUAUAAACCUUUCUGUUAGCUUUAUCUGUGGUGAACUUCAUUGAAAGAAAUCUUGAAUUUUGGUGUGGUUAAAGUCAUCAAAAUUUCUCCUUAUACUUUGUGCUUUUGGGUCUUGUUUAAGAAGAAUUUCCAGGGCCAGCCCGGUGGCGCAGCAGUUAAGUGCACCUGUUCCGCUUCAGCGGCCCAGGGUUCUCUGGUUCAGAUCCUGGGUAUGGACAUGGCACUGCUUGACAAACCAUGCUGUGGUAGGCGUCCCACAUAUUAAAAAAAAAAAAAAGUAGAGGAAGAUGGGCACGGAUGUUAGCUCAGAGCCAGCCUUCCUCAGCAAAAAGAGGAGGAUUGGCAGCAGAUGUUAGCUCAGGGCUAAUCUUCCUCAAAAAAAAAAGUGUUAAACUUUUUUCUCCAGAAUGGUCUUAUACAUUCACUGUUAGGUUGAUUUCUAGAUUCUUUAUAGUUUGUCCUGUUAUUGUAGCUCAAGUCUCAUAUUUUUUUUUGCUUAUUGUUGAUAUAGAUGCAUUUCUUUUUCUCUCUUUCUUAGACCUAUAUGAAUCAGAUUAAUCAUAAUCCCCAGUUCAUGACAUAUUCUCAUUUUGGUCCCUGUAUAGUCUGCUUUUUUUUAGUUUAUUAGUUAGUUAAUUAUUUUUAAUAAAGCAAUAAGAACCUAUAAUACCUCCCCCCAAAACAAAAGCUAGAACUUGACAAUACACCACAUCUUAACACGAUUUCCCCAGUUUAUUCCGUCUGUCUCCACCCGAGGCAGCUAGAAUCCUGAAUCUCAUGUCCGUUGUUUUGUCGCUUUCCUUUACAGAUUGCUUUACUCCAUCUUUAGGUAUUCCUUCAAAGUGUAUACAUUACCUGUAUACAACCCUCCUUGACUUAUGACGGGGUUACAUCCUGAUAAACCCAUCAUAAGUUGAAAAUACUGAAAGUUGAAAAUGCAUUGAAGGGGCCGGCCUGGUGGUGCAGCGGUUAAGUUCGCACGUUCCACUUCUUGGCGGCCUGGGGUUCACCGGUUUGGAUCCCGGGUGCGGACAUGGCACCACUUGGCAAAAGCCAUGCUGUGGUAGGCAUCCCACAUAUAAAGUAGAGGAAGAUGGGCACGGAUGUUGGCUCAGGGCCAGUCUUCCUCAGCAAAAAGAGGAGGAUUGGCAGUAGUUAGCUCAGGGCUAAUCUUCCACACACACACACACAAAAGCAUUUAAUACACCUAACCUACCAAACAUCAUAGCUUAGCCUAGCCUGUCUUAAAUGUGCUCAAAACACUUGCUUACGGUUGGGCAAAAUCAUCUAACACAAAGCCUAUUUUAUAAUAAAGUGUUGAAUAGCUCAUGUAAUUUAUUGAAUACUCACUGAAAGUGAAAAACAGAAUGGUUGGAGGGGUGCAGAUGGUUGUAAGUGUAUCUGUUGCUUACCCUCGUAAUCACGGGGCUGCCUAGGAGCUGCGGCUGCCGCUGCCCAGCGUCACGCGAGAGGAUCAGACUGCAUAUCGCCAGCCCAAGAAAACGUCAAAAUUCAAAAUACGAAGUAUGGUUUCUACUAAAUGCGUAUUGCUUUUGCACCAUCGUUAAGUUGAAAAAUGGCAGGAGUGUGCACUUCUCAUCUUCCACCAUCUUUCCUGCUGGCUGCAGAAGUUAUGUCUGGCGCUAGAGCAGUCAUCUUGGACCAUGAGGUAGAAGCCAUGCACUGAAGAUGAAGAAACCACAGAGAAGGCACCUGGUUUAUUUGUCUAUACCCAGGCUAAAAGGACACUAUCCUAAUUACUGUUGCUUUAAAAUAAACCACGAUAGCUGCUAGGGCAAGUAUUCCCAUUUUAUUUUCCUCCUUUAACAGUGUCUGGGCUACUCUUGGUCCUUUGAACUACUGGAAUUUUAAAUCUGUCAACUGUGGUAAAGUGAAGAUGGUCAUAAAUUCUCUGACACUCCUCCUAUUGAGAGGUGGUCUAUUUGCCUUUCCCUUGAAUCUGGCUGGUCUUAGUGACUUAUGGUGGAAGCGGUGCUGUGUGACUUCUGAAACUGGGUCAGAAGAUGCCUUUCAGCUUCCACCUUGGUCUCUUGGAAAGCUCACUCUCCAGACACUCUCUCAAAUGACUCCCUCUCGGGUUACUCCCUCACCAUCCUGUGAGAUGUCCAGGUCACAUAGACAGGCCAUUUGUAGACGCUAUAAUUGACAGCUCCAGCUGUGUUUCUAGCCUCCAGCCAGAUUCAACAGCAUCAUGUGAGGGCGCCAUCUUAGACAGCCAGCCUUCAGAUGACUCCAGUCCUGUAGUCAACACCUGUCUGCAACCACAUUAGACGCUCUAAGAAAGGAUUAUCCAGCUGACCCCUUCCUGGAUUCCUAACCCACAAAAUUGUGAGCAAAAUAAAAUGAUUUUUAAGCCACUAAGUUUGGGGGUAGUUUGUUAUGCAGCAAUAGAUAACCAGAUUAUCAAAUUCUACUAAAAAAAAAGUGUUGAGAUUUGAUCAAGAUGCCAUUGAAUCUGUAGAUCGAGUUGAAGAAAACUGACACCUUUAUAAUA